rnacentral:rRNA from 1 species
AUUGAACGCUGGCGGCAUGCCUUACACAUGCAAGUCGAACGGUAACGUGCCUUCGGGUGCCGACGAGUGGCGAACGGGUGAGUAAUGUAUCGGAACGUACCUUUCAGUGGGGGAUAACGUAGCGAAAGUUACGCUCAUAACGCAUAUUCUGUGAGCAGGAAAGCAGGGGGUCGCACGACCUUGCGCUGAUUGCGCGGCCGGAAUCAGAUUAGCUAGUUGGUGAGGUAAAGGCUCACCAAUGCGACGAUCUGUAGCGGGUCUGAGAGGAUGUUCCGCCACACUGGAACUGAGACACGGUCCAGACUCCUACGGGAGGCAGCAGUGGGGAAUUUUGGACAAUGGGGGCAACCCUGAUCCAGCCAUGCCGCGUGAGUGAAGAAGGCCUUCGGGUUGUAAAGCUCUUUCGGCCGGGAAGAAAUCGUAUCAGCUAAUACCUGGUGCGGAUGACGGUACCGGCAUAAGAAGCACCGGCUAACUACGUGCCAGCAGCCGCCGUAAAAC